UACGUAGGCGGCAAGCGUUAUCCGGAAUUAUUGGGCGUAAAGCGCGCGCAGGUGGUUCCUUAAGUCUGAUGUGAAAGCCCCCGGCUCAACCGGGGAGGGUCAUUGGAAACUGGGGAACUUGAGUGUAGAAGAGGAAAGUGGAAUUCCACGUGUAGCGGUGAAAUGCGUAGAGAUGUGGAGGAACACCAGUGGCGAAGGCGACUUUCUGGUCUAUAACUGACACUGAGGCGCGAAAGCGUGGGGAGCAAACAGG
rnacentral:rRNA from 1 species